CUAGUAUUCUUCCGUCCAACAAAAGAUGUUUCAAUUUUGUCAAAAUUAGAUGUAUCUAGACAUGACUUAAUGUAUAGAUGCAAUCAAAUUUGGUCAAAAUUAAGACAUCUUUUAUUGGACGAAGAGAGUACUAG
rnacentral:pre_miRNA from 1 species